GUGUGUUGUUACUGCUGGGACGUUACUGUCUGGUGUGUUGUUACUGCUGGGACAUUACUGUCUGGUGUGUUGUUACUGCUGGGACAUUACUGUCUGGUGUGUUGUUACUGCUGGGACAUUACUGUCUGGUGUGUUGUACUGCUGGGACGUUACUGUCUGGUGUGUUGUUACUGCUGGGACGUUACUGUCUGGUGUGUUGUUACUGCUGGGACAUUACUGUCUGGUGUGUUGUUACUCACUGCUGGGACGUUACUGUCUGGUGUGUUGUUACUGCUGGGACAUUACUGUCUGGUGUGUUGUUACUCACUGCUGGGACAUUACUGUCUGGUGUGUUGUUACUGCUGGGACAUUACUGUCUGGUGUGUUGUUACUGCUGGGACGUUACUGUCUGGUGUGUUUCUAUUCUAAUCACACAGAAGAUAUGAGGUCUGUCACGUCCUGACCAGUAUAAGGGGUUAUUUGUUAUUGUAGUUUGGUCAGAACAUGGCAGGGGGUGUUUGUUUUAUGUGGUUCAGGGUGUGUUUUGUGUAUGUGUUUAGAUAGAGGGGUAUUUGAUU
rnacentral:lncRNA from 1 species